AUCCCGGUAGAAACCAACAUGGACAUUGGUACCUCAUGGUCAUUUCAUUAGAUGAUUGCAAGAUCUAUCAGUUGGACUCGCAUCUGAUUGUAAGAUCUAUAAUUUAGACUCACAUCUGACCGAGGACGCGGUGGUAGAAAGAAGGUGCACCAUCAGAAACAUUGGAGCUGCGCUAAAUAAGUUGGUGGAAACAGUGUAUGGAAGUUCAUUCUCACUCCACGUGAUGACAUACUUUGAAUAUUGGGACAUUGUGGAGGCAAGAGGGAUCCCAAAUUGUGGAACUAGCGAUAACUCUGCACUAUGGGUGGUAGAGUGGACAAAUAUGCAAGACAACUUCACAAGCAACACUCUUGGUGUGAUGAAUGAGAAUGUCACAAGGAUAGUAUUAACUAAGCGUUUGCUUAUGGAAAACCAUAACUACUGCAAUAACGAGCUCAUUCGGAAAUUGAAGGAAUACUAGAAAGUUAUAACAACCACGACUUAGAGACAAUGAGAAUGUGCAGUGGCCAUUGUUAGUGCUUUUAUUGGCUGAUUGACAUCUAUGUUUGGCUAAAAUAUAAUAGCAGUAAAACAUAACAUUAAUGUGAAUCUUGCAAGUUUAGAAAGAACAAAACAUGUAUAAGCAAGAUGUUAGAUGGAAUGUCAUGACAUCAACUCAUGACAUCGCGCCUGCAGAACUGGAAGAAAGAUUCAGUUUGUACUUAACAGAUAUAGAAUAUUCUAUGUGAAUAUUAUGUAAUCCUAUGUGACACAUAUUUAAAGGUCAAAAGAAUAAUUGAAGAAUCAGAUCAGAAGAUUGAAGAUUAAGGAAGAAUCAAAUCAGAAGAUUGAGGAUUUAGCAGUUUCUAAAUUAGGAAACUCAUGAUUAGAAGAUCUUAUUUGUAGCAGAAUAUUUCUGCAUAUUUGUAACAACAAGGAGUGCUGUGAUUUGUAAGCCCAAAUCCAAUUGGGA